GACGAACGCUGGCGGCGUGCUUAACACAUGCAAGUCGAACGGAAAGGCCCUGCUUUUGUGGGGUGCUCGAGUGGCGAACGGGUGAGUAGCACGUGAGUAACCUGCCCUUGACUUUGGGAUAACUUCAGGAAACUGGGGCUAAUACCGGAUAGGAGCUCCUGCGGCAUGGUGGGGGUUGGAAAGUUUCGGCGGUUGGGGAUGGACUCGCGGCUUAUCAGCUUGUUGGUGGGGUAGUGGCUUACCAAGGCUUUGACGGGUAGCCGGCCUGAGAGGGUGACCGGCCACAUUGGGACUGAGAUACGGCCCAGACUCCUACGGGAGGCAGCAGUGGGGAAUAUUGCACAAUGGGCGGAAGCCUGAUGCAGCAACGCCGCGUGCGGGAUGACGGCCUUCGGGUUGUAAACCGCUUUCGCCUGUGACGAAGCGUGAGUGACGGUAAUGGGUAAAGAAGCACCGGCUAACUACGUG
rnacentral:rRNA from 1 species